rnacentral:rRNA from 1 species
UACGUAGGUGACCAGCGUUGUCCGGAUUUACUGGGCGUAAAGAGCGCGCAGGCGGUCGUUCAAGUCGAGUGUGAAAGCCCCCGGCUCAACUGGGGAGGGUCAUUCGAUACUGUUCGACUCGAAGGCAGGAGAGGGAAGUGGAAUUCCGGGUGUAGUGGUGAAAUGCGUAGAUAUCCGAGGAACACCAGUGGCGAAGGCGACUUUCUGGCCUGUUCUUGACGCUGAGGCGCGAAAGCUAGGGGAGCAAACGGG